rnacentral:rRNA from 1 species
GAUGAACGCUGGCGGCGUGCUUAACACAUGCAAGUCGAGCGAAGCAAUCUAAGUGAAGUUUUCGGAUGGAUCUUAAAUUGACUGAGCGGCGGACGGGUGAGUAACGCGUGGAUAACCUGCCUCACACAGGGGGAUAACAGUUAGAAAUGACUGCUAAUACCGCAUAAGCGCACAGUACCGCAUGGUAUAGUGUGAAAAACUCCGGUGGUGUGAGAUGGAUCCGCGUCUGAUUAGGUAGUUGGUGGGGUAACGGCCCACCAAGCCGACGAUCAGUAGCCGACCUGAGAGGGUGACCGGCCACAUUGGGACUGAGACACGGCCCAAACUCCUACGGGAGGCAGCAGUGGGGAAUAUUGCACAAUGGGCGAAAGCCUGAUGCAGCGACGCCGCGUGAGUGAAGAAGUAUCUCGGUAUGUAAAGCUCUAUCAGCAGGGAAGAAAAUGACGGUACCUGACUAAGAAGCCCCGGCUAACUACGUGCCAGCCGCCGCGGUAA